AGGGUGCAAGCGUUAAUCGGAAUUACUGGGCGUAAAGCGCGCGUAGGUGGUUCAGUAAGAUGGAAGUGAAAUCCCCGGGCUUAACCUGGGAACUGCUUUCAUAACUGCUGGGCUAGAGUACGGUAGAGGGUAGUGGAAUUUCCUGUGUAGCGGUGAAAUGCGUAGAUAUAGGAAGGAACACCAGUGGCGAAGGCGACUACCUGGACUGAUACUGACACUGAGGUGCGAAAGCGUGGGGAGCAA
rnacentral:rRNA from 1 species